rnacentral:rRNA from 1 species
AGAGUUUGAUCCUGGCUCAGAACGAACGCUGGCGGCAUGCCUAACACAUGCAAGUCGAACGCCAUCUUUUAGAUGGAGUGGCGCACGGGUGAGUAACGCGUGGGAACCUGCCUUUUUCUGCGGGACAACGGUUGGAAACGACCGCUAAUACCGCAUACGCCCUACGGGGGAAAGGUCCGCCGGAGAGAGAGGGGCCCGCGUUUGAUUAGCUUGUUGGUGAGGUAACGGCUCACCAAGGCGAUGAUCAAUAGCUGGUCUGAGAGGAUGAUCAGCCACACUGGGACUGAGACACGGCCCAGACUCCUACGGGAGGCAGCAGUGGGGAAUAUUGGACAAUGGGGGCAACCCUGAUCCAGCAAUGCCGCGUGUGUGAUGAAGGCCUUAGGGUUGUAAAGCACUUUCACUGGCGAAGAUGAUGACGGUAACCAGAGAAGAAGCCCCGGCUAACUUCGUGCCAGCAGCCGCGGUAAUACGAAGGGGGCGAGCGUUGUUCGGAAUUACUGGGCGUAAAGGGCGUGUAGGC